rnacentral:rRNA from 1 species
AUGGCAGAGUCAAGCGCCAUGGGAGGGAAGAGAGGAAAGGCGAAGGAGACAGAGACAGUGGAUGAGAUGAUAGACCGGCUGGACCUGACAGAGAAGGAGAGGGCAAAACUAGUCGUUGAUGACGAGGAAUAUCAGCAGGAUGAUGAGCUUCAUGCACUAAUCGGAAAGGUACUGCAUCGGAAGGUGCUUCAUGUGAAUACCAUUGGAGAGGUGCUUUGCCAGCCAUGGCCGAAGCGUAUAGUAGCCAUGGUGGGCGAGGUUGUAACCCUAGAUGCUGACGUCAAAGGGUUUGUAUUUGGAGAUUGCUUGAGAUUCAGAGCACGGAUUAGAGUGGAUGAACCUUUGAUGCGUUGGGUGCAAUUGGAGAAGGCAAGAACUAAAGAGACGGAAUUCUUUGAGAUCCAAUAUGAAAACUUUCCCUAUUUCUGCUUCUCAUGUGGGCUAUUGGGGCAUGCAGAAUUGGUGUGUCCUACACCUGCAGGAAGGGAUGAAUAUGGGAGACCCCCAUACCGUGAGGCUCUGAGGUACUCGUCAAGCAAGAGUAGGGGUUGGGGCGGUGCACCAACCUAUAAACAAGAGGGCACUGGCGACGGUGGGAGACAGAAGGAAUCGGGAGCUGUAGAUGAGGAAGUUGAACCAGGUGUGGAAGUGACUUCACCAGAGAAACCAGCUGAGGGCAGAGUGAGGAAUAUUAUUUACCAAUUUAAUGCUAGAGGCAGGGGCACGAACGAACGAGGCAGUCGCGGAGGGCGUGGACCCAAUGCGGUCUAUCAUUGGGUUGAUAUGGAAAACACGAGUAUGCAUGGCCGGGGAAACAACACUUUGCUGCUGCAAGAUAAUGAGACCGUGAUCAGGAAGAGGCAGAGUGAGGAGAACGAGUCAUCAGGUUCCAGAGAUGAUAGCCGUGACUCCAAGAAGAAAAAGGCAGACGAGGAGGCUGCAAAGAUUAGUGCAGAGGCUGAGCGUCAGCCCCGCGGGUCACAAUGA